rnacentral:rRNA from 1 species
AGCAAAGUUUUGGUCAAGUAAGGAAGGGCAUGCGGUGGAUGCCUUGGCGUUUGGAGGCGAUGAAGGACGUGUCUAGCUGCGAUAAGCUACGGGGAGCUGCUAAGGAAGCUUUGAGCCGUAGAUUUCCGAAUGGGGAAACCCACCUGCGGUCAUACGCAGGUAUCAUAUACUGAAUUCAUAGGUAUAUGAGGUGAACGGAGGGAACUGAAACAUCUAAGUACCUCCAGGAAAAGAAAUCAAUUGAGAUUCCCCAAGUAGUGGCGAGCGAACGGGGAGGAGCCUAAACCGGCUAGAGACUAGGGAUGAGAGAAACUUUCUCGUUUCUAGUCUCUAGCCGGAGUUGCGGGACUGCGUUAUGGGAUUGUCAAGGGAUAGAAAAAAAGUCUGGAAAGGCUUGCCGUAGAGCGUGAUAGCCGCGUAUUCGAAAUCCUGAAACACCCUAGCAGUAUCCCAAGUACCAUGGGACACGAGAAAUCUUGUGGGAAACUGGGUGGACCAUCAUCCAAGGCUAAAUACUACCAAACGACCGAUAGCGAACUAGUACCGUGAGGGAAAGGUGAAAAGCACCCCUGGUGGGGAGUGAAAUAGUACCUGAAACCGCAUGCCUACAAGCUGUGAGAGGGCUAUGUUCCGAUUCGUCGGAAAAUGCCUGAUCGCGUGCCUUUUGCAUAAUGAGUCAGCGAGUUACUGUCGUCAGCAAGGUUAAGUUGAAAAGACGGAGCCGAAGCGAAAGCGAGUCUGAAUAGGGCGAAUAAGUUGCCGGCAGUAGACCCGAAACCGGUGUGAUCUAUCCAUGGGCAGGUUGAAGCGUGGGUAAUACUACGUGGAGGACCGAACCGGUGAAUAGUGAAAAAUUCUCGGAUGACCUGUGGAUAGGGGUGAAAGGCCAAUCAAACCCGGAGAUAGCUGGUUCUCCCCGAAAUAUAUUGAGGUAUAGCCUCGCACGAAUACUCUCGGAGGUAGAGCACUGAAUGGGCUAGGGGCCUUACCCGGUUACCAAACCCAAUCAAACUCCGAAUUCCGAGAAGUAAUAUGCGGGAGUCAGUCCAUGGGUGCUAAGGUCCUUGGACGAGAGGGAAAGAGCCCAGACCGCCAGCUAAGGUCCCCAAAUGAUAACUAAGUGUGAAAGGAUGUGGAAGCGCACAGACAACCAGGAGGUUGGCUUAGAAGCAGCCAUCCUUUAAAGAAAGCGUAAUAGCUCACUGGUCGAGUGAAUCUGCGCCGAAAAUGUAACGGGGCUUAAGUUAUCUACCGACGCUGCGGAUUUGUACAUUAGUACAAGUGGUAGGGGAGCGUUCUGUAAGCCUGUGAAGGUCGAUCGUAAGAACGGCUGGAGGUAUCAGAAGUGAUUAUGCUGACAUAAGUAGCGAUAAAGCAUGUGAGAAACAUGCUCGCCGAAAACCUAAGGUUUCCUGGGGAAGGUUAAUCCGCCCAGGGUUAGUCGGGUCCUAAGACGAGGCCCAAGGGAGUAGUCGAUGGAUAACAGGUUAAUAUUCCUGUACCACUUAUAGCAUGUUAUGCGUAGGAGGGACGGAGCAAGACAAAUCAGCCACCUGUUGGAUGGUGGUUUAAACGUAUGGCUAGGAAGGCAGCCAGGCAAAUCCGGUUGUCAAUUCCAAGGCGUGAUGACGAGGGGAUUUCCCCGCAAAGUGAUUGAUUCUAGCUUCCUAGAAAAGCUUCGACGUGAUGUUAUAGGUGCCCGUACCCGAAACGGACACACGUAGGUAGGUUGAGAAAACCAAGGCGCUUGAGAGAACUCUUGUUAAGGAACUCUGCAAAUUGACACCGUAACUUCGGGAGAAGGUGUGCCAUUGAUGGUGAAGCUCGUACAGAGUGGAGCUAUUGAUGGUCGCAGAAACCAGGUGGCGACGACUGUUUAACAAAAACACAGGGCUCUGCUAAGUCGAAAGACGAUGUAUAGGGCCUGACGCCUGCCCGGUGCUGGAAGGUUAAGGAAAGAGGUUAGCCCUUGCGGCGAAGCUUUGAACCGAAGCCCCAGUAAACGGCGGCCGUAACUAUAAAUUAACCGUUGUAGUUACGAAAAUAAAUUUGGCUAUAUGCUGGAAACUCCGGUGUAUCCCACGCUACUCGUUGCGUUUGCAACAGUGACAAUGUGUUGGGUGCGGACAAUCAGCAGGAAAGGCUUUUCGCAUGAUUGACCUGAAUAAAAUUCCCGCUCGAAUAGGCUAUUACAUAGCUGGCUUUGUUGAUGGGGAAGGAAGCUUCAAUGCGGUAUUUAGACCGCGUGAAGAUUACAGUCAUUAUUGGAAAGUUUCUCUUUGUUUUAAUGUUUCCCAAAAGGACAAAGUUAUUUUGUCACUUCUUAAAAAACAUCUUCAAUGUGGAACUCUUCGCAGCAGAAUGGAUGGAGUUUGGUAUUACGAGGUAAACAACCUUAAUGCCGUUCUCAAUUAUAUUAUUCCAUUUUUUAGAAAGUUUAACUUUCUUUCGGCGAAGAAGAAACGUGAUUUUGAUAAGUUUUGUAAACUUGCAAAGUUGCUUGAAGCUGAAGCUCAGAAAACAAAAGAAGGUUUGGAAAAAAUAUUAGAGAUCAGAAGAAACAUGAACGAUGGUGGUAAACGAAAAUAUUCAGAGUCAGAAAUUAGAAGCAUGUGGAAAGAAUCCUCAGAGACUAUAUGCCAAACACAAACUUCAAAAGCCAGAAGUGAUUGUGAAGAUAGAGUCCGACCUUCAUAGCGAUAUGAAGAGCGAAGCAGAAAUGACUUCGCCUCUCUGGAAAUGAAGAGAAGUAACAAUGAUAACGAACGGUCCUAAGGUAGCGAAAUUCCUUGUCGGGUAAGUUCCGACCUGCACGAAUGGCGUAACGAUUGCCACACUGUCUCAACAAGGGCCUCAGCGAAAUUGAAUCACCAGCGCAGAUGCUGGUUACCCGCGACAGGACGGAAAGACCCUGUGCACCUUUACUACAACUUGGCAGUGAAAUUUGAAUUAAUUUGUGUAGGAUAGGUGGGAGGCUUUGAAGCCGGGGCGCUAGCUUCGGUGGAGCCAACCUUGAAAUACCACCCUGAUUAGUUUGGAUUUCUAACCUACUCCCGUUAUCCGGGAGAGGGACACUGUCUGGUGGGUAGUUUGACUGGGGCGGUUUCCUCCCAAAUUGUACCGGAGGAGCGCGAAGGUUCUCUCAGACUGAUUGGAAACCAGUCGUUGAGUGUAAGGGCAUAAGAGAGCUUAACUGCGAGACAAACAAGUCGAGCAGAUACGAAAGUAGGUCCUAGUGAUCCGGUGGUCCCGUAUGGAAGGGCCAUCGCUCAUCGGAUAAAAGGUACGCCGGGGAUAACAGGCUGAUCGCCGCCAAGAGUUCAUAUCGACGCGGCGGUUUGGCACCUCGAUGUCGGCUCAUCGCAUCCUGGGGCUGGAGCAGGUCCCAAGGGUUUGGCUGUUCGCCAAUUAAAGCGGUACGUGAGCUGGGUUCAGAACGUCGCGAGACAGUUCGGUCCCUAUCCGUCGUGGGCGUAGGAUACUUGAGGAGAGCUGUUCCUAGUACGAGAGGACCGGAAUGGACAUACCUCUGGUGCACCAGUUGUCGAGCCUAUCGGCACAGCUGGGUAGCUAUGUGUGGAACGGAUAACCGCUGAAAGCAUCUAAGCGGGAAGCCAACUUCAAGAUAAGGUAUCCCUUAAGACCACUUGAAGACUACAAGUUUGAUAGGCGGGGUGUGGAAGCGCAGUAAUGUGUGGAGCUAACCCGUACUAAUCGGUCGAUUGAUUUGACCUUAAA